rnacentral:rRNA from 1 species
CCUACGGGUGGCAGCAGUCGGGAAUCUUGGGCAAUGGGCGCAAGCCUGACCCAGCAACGCCGCGUGGAGGAUGAAGUCUCUCGGGAUGUAAACUCCGAAAGAAGGGGACGAAUAAGCAUGGGCUAAUACCCCAUGCGAUGACGGUACCCUUUGUAAGCCCCGGCUAACUACGUGCCAGCAGCCGCGGUAAUACGUAGGGGGCAAGCGUUGUUCGGAUUUACUGGGCGUAAAGCGCGCGUAGGCGGCACUGCAAGUCACUUGUGAAAUCUCCGGGCUUAACUCGGUAGGGGCCAAGUGAUACUGCAGAGCUAGAGUGCGGAAGAGGCAGCUGGAAUUCUCGGUGUAGCGGUGAAAUGCGUAGAUAUCGAGAGGAACACCGGUGGCGAAGGCGGGCUGCUGGGCCGACACUGACGCUGAGGCGCGAAAGCUAGGGGAGCAAACAGGAUUAGAUACCCUGGUAGUC